GGGUUUACUAGAGCUUUAAAAUUUAUUAAUAAUAAGGUGAUCCUUGUUUUAUUAAUUUAGUGAGUUAUUCUAGUAUUUCAUUUUCCCGCCAUAAUGACUGUUAUUUGUUACUUGAAUCCAUUCUUAAAUUCGGUACCUUAUCUUAUCAGUUAUAUAGUCGUUAAUCGUUAGUCGUUAUUUAGUUAUUCUAGAUCUUAAUGAUCAUCGGGUUAGUAUUUUGUUUCCCGCCAAAUUGAUUGUUAUCUGUUAUUAAUAAUCACUAUUAUAUUUGGUAUCUUAUCUUAUGCUAAAAGGAGUUACUCUAGGCUUAAUUGACCGUUGUGCUAGUAUUUCAUUUCCCGCCAAAGUCGCCGUUAUUUGCUAUUUGAAUUUGUUAAAUUUAGUAUCUUAUCUUAGUGCCAAACAACUAUUAAUGAUUAACAGUUAGAUAUUAUAAAUAUUAUUGACCAUUGUGCUAUAUAUAUUUAACCAUUCUUAUAUUUUAUUAUCACAUUUGGUAUAUUAUCUUACGAGCCAAAUGGUCGUUAACAGUUAACCGUUUUUUAGUUAUUCUAGGUUCAUUUAACCACUGUACUAAUAUUUCAUUUCCUAUCAGAGUGACCGUUGUUCGUUAUUUGAGAUCUAUUAUCACAUUUGGUAUAUUAUUUUUUCAAUUUCUUAUUAUGAACUAAAUAAUCUUAGGUACUGUUAUUCAUUAUUUGAAUCUAUAUCUUAUUUUAUUAUAAAUUAAAUGAUCUAUGGUACUGUUAUUUAUUAUUUGAAUAUAUCAUCGUAUUUGAUAUCUUAUUUUAUUAUGAACUAAAUGAUCUUUGGUAUUUACAAUAUGUACUUAUUUUAGUUCUCUUAUGAUAGCUUCACAAUAAAUUAACGCACAAAUAUGAAUAUGAUUUCGUUAUUUCAUGGACAGCCAUUGUUCAGUUGAUAAAUUUUGUUACUUUUUACGUUUUUAUUGGGUGAAACAUAGUUUUGACUUCAAGAGUUGUGAGUGUGAAUUUUUAACAAAAUACAAAUGUGGAGAUAAAGCUUUAUAAAAUUUUAUUGCACUAUUGCUUAUUGUGUAAAUUAGGAAUUUAGAUUAUUUAAAAUAUUAAUACAAGCUUGAAAAGGCAAGCUUAUGCGAUUAUCAUCAUUUGUUGGAGUCCAUAUUGCGACUCUAACUGGAUAAGAAUUGUGACCUUUUUUUUUUUUUUUCUAUAUAUAUUCUCUGAAUCAUUUAUUCGUAAAUAUUGCAUAGAAUCCAUACUAGAUAUCAAAUUUAUCACAACCAUUAAUGGACAUACCAUAACCGAUACUAGCAUUUUAACAUUUCAAGUAAGAAAGUAAAUGCAGAUAAGGAGGUUAAUUAUUACAAAAUGCACUCUUUUGGUAAAUAACGUGCAUAACAGAUGUUUAUAAGAUAUUUUGCCAAACCAGUCUUUCUUCAUUCACCGUUGUUUAAUAAUUAUACAUGCAUGUCUAAAAAUUAAAAAUUAAAAAUUGAAACUAUAAAUUAAUCAAUUUCUGCGGUGAAAUUUAAUGACAAUAGUUUUAACCAUUUGAAGGCGUUUUAAUUAAAUUUGCAGAUAAAGACUCUGGAGCGCUCCAACGCCAAGUUAAAAUAUUAGAAAACUAAGCGAGAGUACCAAAUUUUUAUAACCGCGCGAGUGCAGACUCCUGACAAUAGUAUAUUUGUUCUAUUUUGGAAAAAAAGAAAAAAAGAAAAAAAAAAUCUUUGUUGAUCUCAUCAUCAAAAUAAAAAAUCUCACCUCCAUAUACCUUAAAUCCACCACCCCCAUCCUUUUUAUUACGUACUUAUUAGGCAUGUUUUAAUUAAUUAAUUAAUUAAUUUAUAAUGGUUUGAGAGAGUUUUUCUAGAUUUUAGUUGUCCAAACACCACAUCAUUUCCAAAUGUUAUUGAUGGACAUAUUUAGGAUCUGUUCGUUCUAGUUUUUUUUUUUUUUUAGUUAUUAAAAUGUUAUGUAAAUACUUCUAGCUUAAAUAUAACAAUAAAAUUGAUUAUUUUUCAAGAUUUCGCGGUAUAUAUCCUUUGACACCAAGUCACCUUGAGAUUUCGUGCUGUGACUUCUAUACAAUUCGAAACAUAACCUUGUUAUUUGUAUCUCAUUACAUGAACUACAUCUACAUGAUGUACGCCGUUGUUUGAACAAACCGACAUGUCACCUCCAUCCAACUGCGUUACACCAAUAACUUGCUUAUGUAAACGAUGGCUUCGAAUAGUACACUAACUUAUUGUAAAAUUAUUGUAAAAAUAUGUAUUUGAAUACAAACUGUACACUAACUUAUUGUAAAAUUAUUUUAUGUUAGUAUUUUUUUUUUUUGCAUAAAAUAUUAAUGACUACUAAUUACAAUUGAAUAAUACUGAACUAAAUGAUUAAAUUCAGGUGAAAAGUUUAAAAUUUGAAUAAGAUAGAAGAAAAAAUAUUAAAUUUCUUAACCCAAAUCGUAUGAAACUGAACCGUAUUCGGUUCAAAAAAUUUAGGAUGUGUUAAGGUGGUUAUAAGGAGCAAAGGUACAAGAAUCUUCUCUGGCCAGGCCAUAUAUAAAUAUAUAAUUACUUGUUAAAUCAUAUAUUUUUUUAUUUUUUACUAUUUUAUCCGGAGACAUAUUUAUUGAUAAAUGGAGAGUUUUGACACGUUAGAGGUCAAAUAGUUAAAAAAAAAAAAUUGAAAGUUAAUAUUUUUUUUGUUAAUUUAUUCGGAUUAAGUGUUUAAAUGAAUUCGUGUUGAUCUUUUUACAAAUUCUCACUGUUGGUUACUAAAUAAAAGCUCUUUGUAAUUAAUAUAUAUUAAAAAAAUAGUAAUAUUUGAUCUUCUCAAUUUAUCUCAUCCGUCUCCCCCUCCACCCCCCCCCCCCCCAACUUGUUAAUUAAUGCAAUUUAUCCCAGAAUUGUUGUUAUUGAAAAAUAAAACAUAAUUUUAAAAUAAAUAUUUUUUCUUCUCUCUCAAGCUUUCAAUAGAUUAAGUUAGAUCAGCUUUUUAUUUCUCUUAUUAAAAAUAAUUGAUCACAAUUUAGAUCAAAUAUCAACUCCUAACCAAAUCCCAUAUUGAAAUUAAGUAAAAUCUUAAAUUAUGACAUGAAACCAAAUUCAACAUCAUCAAUAACAGUAGAACUCAUCACUUUUCCAUAAAAUUUAACAAAAUCCAACAAUGAAACUCGUUAUAUAUUGGAGGAGGUGAUGAAUUGAUGGUGAAGAAGAUAGGCGGUGUUGGUAAUGAUAAUGAUAAACCUGUUGUUGUGGAAGUGGCGGGGCUGAUUGUUACGCUAACGUGGUGGUUGGGGAGAGAAGGGAGAAUAAAACAAAAGAAAAGAAAAAUAAUAAUUUUAUUUUUAUUAAUGAUAAUUUUAAAAAGUAAUAAGAUAAUUUGAGGGGACAAAUAUCAUUAUAAAAAAAGGAAAUAGAAGGAUGGACAGAGCCCAAAUUAUUAUUAUUUUGUCCUUAUAUCUACUUAAAUUUGAACUUUGACACCAAGCUAAAUAAAACUACUUUAAAACUACUUGGCUGUAAUAUGUAAUUACAUCUUAAUCGUGAAUUUAUAAAAAUGAGCACAAAAUCAAAUUAACAGUAAAUGCAAAUUCUUUUAUAAUGUGAUUAUAUGAGUGUUUUUAUGGGUAUUGAAAUAUGAGGGGAAAAGAAUUAAUUUACUUUAAAAAAAAAAGAACAUGGGGGUUUCAAUCAUUUUUCCUAUUGUUAUUAUAUUAAAAAUAUUACUCCCUGGGCUAUGAAUUAGGCUUCGGAUCAAAGAUCCUUGCACCUUACUCUUACCAACCUCCAUGUAAAAUACCAUCACACAAAAUAAGAUUCUAAAUAACGCAACUUCACUUUAUUAUUGUUAUUAAUUGGUUGAGUAUUUUCUCUCCGAGAAAAUUUUAACUGAUCCCAAAGAAUUUUUCCCUAUUCUUUCACUCUUUACUAAAUUUCGAAACUUAAACAAGUUUAAAUAGCAAGUGACGUGAAUAAUAAAAUGUAGCCUCUCUCUCUCACUGUCUAUAUAACAUACGAGAGAGUUGUACAAUUACAAGAGUAAGGACUACCUUUAACAAGUAGAAAUGAAUUAGCUUUUAAAAUUAGAUUGGAUUAUAUAUACUACUAUAUUUUGUUUGGUAUAAUAUCAUAUACAACUAUGUAAAAUUUAAUUUAAUGAAACAAGAAUAACUAUUUAAGUAGUUUUAAUUAUUUUUAAAUUAUGUUACUAAUUGUUGAAUUUAAUAAAUAAUAUACAAUAUUAUCAUAAGUGAAAAAAUUUUUAUGGUUAAUAUUAUUUAAUACUUUAUAUAAAAUUUUGAUAUUUAAUCCUAAAACAAACACUGGUUAAAAUUUAAAUUAUUGAAUCAAAUUUGUUCUUGUUAUCAAAUUUGGCUUAAAAUAAGAUAUGAGAAUUAAUCCUAUUUAAAUCCACACACAAAAAAAGAACCAAGGCCACGUUUUUGCUAAAUGAGGCAGGAAUAGGCUAAUUUUCCAUCCAAGGUCAUCUUUGGCUGUCUAGGAUUAACUAAUUGGAAAAUGAUGUUCUCACAACACUUUGCACAAAACGGUGUGUUUUGUGCAAAGUAUAAAAACCACUUUUUGCUGCAAAGUUUUAACACCAAACACACACAAGUGAGGGGAGCAACAAAACUCAGCGUCUCUCUCUCCCAUCUCCUUUCUCCCUCACGAAACCUCACAAAACCUCACGAAACAGCUCAUAUUUUUCUCUCUCAUCCCCACUAACAGUCUCGGCUCCGUUCUCCCUUGUCGCGUAAAUUAUGAAAAUAAAUGUGCUAUAAAUGAGGGAGAUGCGUAAAUUAUAGCAUAAGCUCAAUGUUUCUGGGCUGUAAUUUUUUUAAAAUUCUUUUCAAAUAAUGGCAAAUACAAUUUAUUCAACAGAGUAAAAUAAUUUGAGGGAGCAAACUACAUUUUCUAGGUGCUUCAUCAAAUAAUCAAAUCACAACAUAAAAGCUUGAAAUAAACAUGAUUCCCAAAGGCAUCGGGUUUUGCAUAAUUUGAUUCCAAUUUACAACACUCAAGCAUAAGACCACCACCAUCCAUAGGUAAUUCAGCACAAUGUCCUAAACGAGUUAAAGAUUUCAAUUAGAGCAAUGAAUUGAAACGGGUGAGAGAGAGAUCUUAUGGUUGUUGUGCGGCUAGAGAGGAUGGAACGGGGACUAUUAGCGGCGUGGAGACAGGAGAGAGAGACUCGAGCUGUCUUGUGAGGGAGAAAGGAGGCCGGAGAGAGAGACCCGAGCUCUCUCGUAAGGAAGAAAGGAGGACGGAGAGAGAGAUUGGAUCAAUCUCAUGAGGAAAAAUGGAGGAAAAAUGGAGACUUGCUGCACGUGAGUUUUGUUGCUCCCCUCUCACGCGUGUGUGUUUGGUGUUAAAACUUUGUAGCAAAAAGUGGCUUUUAUACUUUGCACAAAACGCACCGUUUUGUGCAAAGUUUUGUGCAAAGUGUUGUGAGAAUAUCGGCACCGUAACUAAUUAGCCCAACUUUUAGUCAAAAAAUUUUGGAACUACGAGGGCUCGUUCGUUAUUAUUUUUAAACUUAUAUUUUCAUAAUACAAAAAUAAGAAUGAGAAUAAUAUUUUAUUGUUGUUGUAUUUUGAAUAUGAAUACAUAAUAUUUUGAUUGUUGUUGUAUUUUGAAUUUGAAUACACAUUUGGUAUCUUUUUUGUAUCCUAUAUUUGAAAAAAUAAAAAUAGUGAUACACAUUUGGUAUUCAACUAAAAGUGAUAAAUAUAGUGAGUAUAUGUUCGGUAGUUCUAUUUUCAUAAACAAUUUUUUUUUACUAAACAUAUAAGUUAUACUUGUGACUAAAAUAGUAAUACAAGAAAAAAUAAUACAAGAUUGAUUUGUUUAAUCUCUUUGAAUAAAAAUCAUUUUUUAGAUAAAAAUAUAUUUACCACAGAUAAGUUAGCUUGAAAAUUUUAAAAUAGGCAGUAUAUAUUCAAUAAAUUAGCAUUAUUACAAAUGUCAUAAUUUAAGUAAAGUUGUCCUAUAUUAGAUUUUUUUUUUCAGAUUUGUUCAAAUACCUCAUUACUUGUAAUUGUCUAGAUUAAUGUUUGUGAGUCACUAUUUUUAACAUGAUCAUGCAAUUAUUCCUUUGGUUUGUAACACAAUAUGGCCAUACAUACUUUUAAACACAAAUACACUACAGCACUCGCCCACAUGCUCUUAAGAAAAUAAAAUCCAAAUAUUCGAAUAAUAUGUAGGACUUAAGAUACAAAUCCAAUUUUCCCACUUAGAAGAAAUUUCAAGAGAAUAAAAAAAAUACAAAAUCAAUAUCUUUAUGUUGAUCUAAAAGCAGUGGUUCAAAUCUACACAAAAAAAAUAAGUUCAUAAUAAUUUUUUAAGGUUGAAGGAGAACACAAAUGGUGGUAAGAAAAAAAAUUUAUACAUGAAAAAUAGGAAAAAAAUAAGAAGAAAAAAUUAUUUGGAAGUACUGGAAUGGAUUGAUUUUCUAUAUCACGACAUGAGAGAAAUGUUAGAUGAAAGUCCUUUCAUACAGCGCAAGUUAGCUACAUGUAUGAAAGUGACAUGCAAGAACACAUAUAUAUAUAUUUUUUAAUUACACGAGACUACGACUCAAACUAUAAUUUAUAUUAUAUGAGAUUAUAACUGAUAUUUAUAAAUUAAAUUAUUACCGAGAUUAACUUAUAUCAAUGCUUACAGAGCUCUACCCAUAUUUUUAACCCUCAUUAAUAUUCGAAAAAUAUCUACUGCACUCACACUUAAUAAAAGAAAAAAUUAUUUUCACUCAAUUAUACAUUAUAAUUAAAGAAUGAAUUACUUCCAUAUUAUAUUUGUGGGGUUCGAAUUAGAAGGCAGCAGCCCUAACCUUUCAGUCAAAGGCCAAGUCAAGUAAGACCACGUGUACGUUGAUAAAUAGUCUCGUGCUUUGAAUUUUGGUUUAUUUUGCAAACUGCAAAGUCCGGUCAUGCCCUUUCAUCCUAAGGUAUACUUUUCAAUUUCGAGGAAGGUGUAUUGGAUUUUCCAUUCAUAACGACGACUAACGAGGCAAUUGCCAUUUUCUAAACGAGAAAAUAAUUUUAUUAAAGACAUAAGUCUUGAAUCCAUACACACCUAAGUUGUAACCCAGAUUGUUUGCGUGAAACGGUGAAAAUGCAUGCGGGGACUAAGAAGGGUCAUACAGCCUGCUUUUAUGACUUUUUCACCGGUUGUCCAUUAAAUUAAUUUAUUUUUGCUGAAAAAAAUACUAAAAAAAGAUUAAAAUAAAGAAACUUAUAAAUAGUUAACAUAAAAAGAUAUUAAAUAAUAAAAAAUUUAAUAAAUUUUUAUGUUAAAUAUAAUAAAGUGAUUUGUGAAUUUUUUUUUUAAAUAAUCAUAAUCCUACACUUUUUGAACCCCCUUUUAUUUUAUGAAAUAUCAACUUCUGCAAAAUAACGAAAACAUAAUAAGAUAUUAUUAUGACACCAAACUUUUUCAUCAUCCUUUAAACUGCAAUAAAUAUUAAAAGUUAUACAGAUUAAUCAAAAAAUUAAUUAAUCUACAAUAAAUAUUUUAAUUAUAUGUUCAUGUUGUUCCAAGAAAACAUAAAUAAUAAUAUUAAUUAAAAAAUAGUACUAAUUUUUUACUUAGUACUUUAAUACGGUAUAGUUUAAAGUUAUUUUGUUACCGUUAUAUCAGAUCUUUUGAUUUAAAUAUUGGUAUUCAUAUAUUUUAUAUCAAAAAUUAAUUAAGUAUUACAAGCAAAAUAAGAAUAAAGAAAUUCGACUAAUUAAAUUAACUUAAGAUUAGUCAAACUUGCUUUGCUGUCGGAGAAAGUUCAAAUCCUAUCCUGAUUUGUUCUUCUUUUUUUUUUUUUUUUGGGAUAAAAAAAUCCUAUCCUGAUUUGUAUGCAAAUAAAGACAAUACUUAGUGGUAGAAAGUUCUCGUGACUGAUUAUUUAAUUACGUAGGACGUAGGACACGUGUGCGAUCAAGCGGCGAAAUUAUUAAAAAGUCAAAAAAGGCCAAAAGAAAAAAGCAUCAUUUUAGUUUGGCAUUUGAUCAUUUGAAAGUGGGACCUGUCUAUGGUACAGAUUCUGUAACAAACAUCUCCCGUCAUCCCACCAUCCGAUUGUCUAUUGUUUAGUUUCUCACUCCACAUCCAACGGCUGAUGCUGCAGUCUGUAGCUUACAGAUUCUGUAAGCUAGUCAAGUCCUUGAAAGUGAGGACAAACAAAAAGAAAGGACUGCUACAGGAGAAACCGUGGAAAUAAAUGCAGAAAUAGAGAGAAAAAAAGUAAAGCCGCCUAAAAAAAUUCCAAAUGCUUAUCAUUCUCAAGUUUUAAAAAGGUU
rnacentral:lncRNA from 1 species